UUUAUGGAGAGUUUGAUCCUGGCUCAGGAUGAACGCUGGCGGCGUGCCUAAUACAUGCAAGUCGAGCGAACAGACGGGGAGCUUGCUCCCCCGACGUUAGCGGCGGACGGGUGAGUAACACGUGGGUAACCUACCUAUAAGACUGGAAUAACUCCGGGAAACCGGGGCUAAUGCCGGAUAACAUGUUGGACCGCAUGGUCCUACAGUGAAAGACGGUUUUGCUGUCACUUAUAGAUGG
rnacentral:rRNA from 1 species